CAGUCGCCGCGGGAAAACGGAGGAUCCGAGCGUUAUCCGGAUUUAUUGGGUUUAAAGGGUGCGUAGGUGGCCUGUUAAGUCAGGGGUGAAAGACGGUAGCUCAACUAUCGCAGUGCCCUUGAUACUGACGGGCUUGAAUGGACUAGAGGUAGGCGGAAUGUGACAAGUAGCGGUGAAAUGCAUAGAUAUGUCACAGAACACCAAUUGCGAAGGCAGCUUACUAUGGUUUGAUUGACACUGAGGCACGAAAGCGUGGGGAUCAAACAGGAUUAGAUACCCCAGUAGUCCCUGUCUCUUAUAC
rnacentral:rRNA from 1 species